CGGGAGUUGUAAAUUAUGGAUAGAUGUUCGUUUCGAGUUUAUUGCAUAAAUUUAGUCGUAAUUCCGAUUUACAAAAAAUAAUUGUGUCGUUUCCUUUAUUUAGGAGGAUCCGUGAGCGAGAACCGGUCCGCGGACGUGGACGAUAACCGAGCAUGAGCACCGUCACUGUGAGUGGAAUAUACAAAAUCUAUUUUCAUAGUUAUAUGAUAGUAAAGCAUGUUUGCGAAAUAAGUAUUUUAAAUGUUCUGAUUUAAUGAUUCCCUCGAAAUGGAUUUUAUUCACGUAUUGGUAUUUUAUUAAACUGUUUGGUUAAUGAUUCUGCGUAUCGACUUUGAAUAAAGUAUGAUAGUAUUUUAAAGAUAAGAAAAGUGGAUUCAAAUGUGGUAUGAUUUAAAGUAUGGUUAAAAGGUAUGUGAAUAUGAGUAUAGUGAUUGUUUUUUAAAUCAUUAGACAGUACCCUUUCCUCCAGAUACAGUGAUAUAGAUGAGAUGAGAGGCCUUUGGGGCCCAUCUGAACACACAUAGAGGCUUUGGGCUGUGUAUUUGGGCGAUUUUGCCUUUUGGGGGCAUAUGCAUAUGGUAUGAUGAUUACAGAGAUACAAACAGAUAUUGAGAUACAGAUGAUACAGAUGAGAUGCAGGCCUUUUGGGCCCGUCUGAGUACACACAGAGGCUUUGGCCCGUGUGCUUGAGCGCUUUUGUCCUUUUGGGACUAAAUUAUGUAUGCACAGAUUUGAUGAGAUAUGAGAGGGUAUUUCCCUGUCUAUCCGUGUAGCUCUGGGGCGUGACGGUACCCAGAUAGUACGUCAUUGCCCGUCCGUUGAGGUCCGGAUAUGAUGAGAUUAUUUCCCUGGCUACUUGUUUAGUGAUGAUUUUCAUUCUUGUGUAUUCUAUAUGAUAUUGUGAUAUGAUUUCCAUGAUUAUUACGUAUGAUCGUUAUAUAUGCUUUUCAUGGUUAGUAAUCUGGUUUAAGUGUUAAAUGAUUUAUUACUGGUUUCUCGCUUAUGGUUUGAUGAAAUCGUGUUUGAAAAUGAUAUGAUUAUUUCUUUUAAAGUAAGAAUUAAUUUUUAAAAACUACUAUCCACUCACUCAUCUCAUUGAGUUUUAAACUCACCCGUUUUUAUUAUAUUUUCCUCCCCACCAGGAGGUUGCAGGUACACCAGACCGACCCAGCGACUGUAAAUAUAUUUUGAGUCUUGGCCACGUGAUGGUGUUAGAAGAUAUAGAUGUUUUUGUUAGGACAUCUUGGUCAUCUUGUUCUUUUGGGAUUGUAUAAUUUUGUUAUAUUAUUCUUUCGGGAUUAAUAAUAAACUGAGAUAUUAAUAUUACUUAUAAUAUUAUCUUUUGAGAUUCUGGAGAUAUAAACUCAGCAUUUUGGUUAAGGAUGUUGAUCACUGGAGUUUGUUGUAUAUUGAAUUAUAUUGGGAGUGUUAUAUUCAUAUUUGUAGAUUGGGAGUGUUAUAUAUAUAAAAGAGACUUUGCCGAAUUUUUGGCAGAAUCCUUACUAACUAGAUUAUUAUCAAGUUCGUUUUGAUGAGACUAGAUUGACUCGCCCAGGGGGAAUUCGGGGCGGGUCGUUUCAGUUGGUAUCAAAGCAUGGUUUUAGAUUCUGUAGACUUUACUAUCUUAAUAAGAAUAAGUUUUAUAUUUAUUAAAGUUAGAAUUUAUAUCUUGUAUGCACCAUCAUGCUUCGUCGUAGCAGUAAACGUGGUCGUGGUCGUACUAGGCCAAUAGCUAGGUUGACUUCUGGUAGUGUACCUGCGAGGAAAGUGAACCCGCGAAUGAGGGGGUAGUUGAAUCCUCCACGCAUGAAAUCGCACAACAGCCACCGGGGAAUGCCCUGAAUAUCGAGCAGUCAUUUGAUAAGUUGGCUUAGAUCAUGACUACAGUUGUGCAAAAUCAGACUCAAGCGCAUGUCGGUAACACAAACACUAUUGAGCGAGUGAGGAGUUUAGGGGCGAGGACCUUUAAUGGUUCUGGAGAACUACCUGAGGCUGAGUCAUGGUUUGUUAAGUUAGAGCAAAUUUUUGACGUGAUGAAGUGUUCGGAGGAUGACAGACUAUCCGUCGCCACUUUCCUGCUCGAGGAUAAAGCUUACCAUUGGUGGCAGACAGUGGAGAGAUGAUAUCAAGGGCAUGCUGCGAUUACUUGAGCUAUUUUCCAUAAGGAAUUCUACGAUCAUUAUUUUCCUAUUGUAUAUCAGGAUAUUAAACGGAGUGAAUUCUUUCGGUUGGUUCAGGGAUCUCUGACAGUAGGAGUAUGAGAAGAAAUUUUUAGACCUCUCUAGAUUUGCUACAUCUGUAGUCGGUGAUGAGAGAGAGAGAUGCAGACAGUUCGAGGAUGGCCUCCGAUUUAAGAUUCGCACCACCGUGACUGCAUCGCGAUAUACUGAGUUUGGAGAGGUAGUUGAGGCAGCCAAGAGAGUAGAGCACAGUAUUUCAGAAGGACGUGGAGUUCAUGCACUGAAGCAGAAGCGUAGCCAGAGCUGGGCAGAGGGUGGCUCUAGUAGUAGGCCGCCCAAGAGAGGGGGUAUUCCUACAAGUUUUUCUGAUAGUACGCAAAGGAGUCAGGGUACAAGCUUCAGGGGAGACGCGAGACAGGCUAUCAGUCAUAGCCCAGUGCAACCAUCAGUGGGGAGUAAUACCAAGAAUCGGGGACAGUACGACCGCAGUGGUGGGGGAUAUCGUGAUGAUCGUUCUAGGAGUGUCCAGCAGACUUCUUGCCAUUCAUGUGGUAGGAAUCAUCAGGGCCAGUGUCGCAUUGGAGACAGAGUUUGUUAUUUGUGUGGUCAGCCUGGACACAUCAGGAGAUUCUGCCCUACUUUAUCUUAGGGUGAUAGCUCUGUAGCAAGGACAACCUCACGGUAUCAGCCUUACUCUGGCCAGACUCAGGGUCAGAGAGGAGUGUAGACAAGAGGUUCUACAUCUACCUUUAGGAGUCAGAUGACUGCUCCAGGUCAGAGAGGGCAGCCUGAUCGACCUCAUACUCAUGCUCGAGUUUUUGCUUUGACGCAACAGGAGGCACGUGUUGCACUAGAAGUUAUUAUGGGUAUAUUAUCUAUCCUUGGCCGCGAGGCUUGUAUUCUUAUUGAUCUUGGAUCCACACACUCUUUCGUUUCCCGUACUUUUGCUAUGCACAUAAGGCGAGAGCCCAAACUGUUAGAUUGUGGUUUAGUUGUUCGUACACCUACUAGAGAGUCAUUACUUGCUGAGAGUGUGUAUCAAGAUUGUAUGAUUGGAAUAGGUGAACAUGAAUUUGAGGCGAAUUUGAUUUCCUUAGGCAUUUAUGACUUUGAUGUUAUUUUGGGCAUGGAUUGGCUUGAAUUUCAUUAUGCUACGGUGGAUUGUUUCAAAAAGGAAGUUUGUUUAAAAAGCUAGGGAAAACUGAAGUGAAAUUCUGUGGGGAGCGCAAAGUUCUACCUUCAUGUGUUAUAUCUUCCAUUAGUGCAAGACGGUUGCUAAAAAAAUGAUGCUCAUCUUAUUUAGCUCAUGUGAUAGAUACAGAAGCUCGAGAAUUGAGAUUGGAGGAUAAUGCAGUAGUCAAAGAAUUUCCAAAUGUAUUUCCAGACGAACUUCGUGGGAUGCCACCUAAUAGGGAAGUUGAGUUUUCUAUUGACUUAGUCCCUAGAACAUCUCCUAUAUCUAUGGCACCAUACAGGAUGGCUCCAGCAGAGUUGAAGGAACUGAAGGUUCAAUUGCAAGAGUUGGUGGAGAAAGGGUUUAUUAGACCUAGUGUGUCCCCGUGGGGAGCUCCAGUCUUGUUUGUUAAGAAAAAUGAUGGGACUUUUAGACUCUGCGUUGACUACAAGUAGUUGAACAAAGUUACGGUAUGCAAUAAGUAUCCAUUUCCAUGCAUUGAUGACUUGUUUGAUCAACUCCAUGAGGCGAAAGUAUUUUCUAAGAUCGAUUUGCGCUCAGGUUACCAUCAGCUUAGAAUUAAAGACGUCGAUGUUCCGAAAACGGCAUUUAGAACCCGUUAUGGACAUUAUGAGUUCUUAGUGAUGCCAUUUGGGUUGACAAAUGCUCCAGCUGCUUUUAUGGACCUUAUGAAUAGGGUAUUUUGCCCUUAUCUAGAUCGGUUUGUGAUUGUAUUCAUUGAUGAUAUCUUGGUGUAUUCUUGAAGUGAGGAGGUGCAUGCAGAGCAUUUGUGGACUAUUUUACAGACUUUGAAGCAAAAGCAGUUGUAUGCCAAGUUCAGCAAGUGCGAGUUCUGGUUGGACAAAGUAGUAUUUUUUGGCCAUGUGAUAUUAGCAGAAGGUAUUUAUGUUGAUCCUCAAAAGAUUGAAGCAGUUGUGAAAUGGGAACGGCCUACAAAUGUCACAGAGGUUCUGAGUUUUCUUGGAUUAGCUGGUUAUAAUCGUAGAUUUGUGGAGGGAUUCUCUAAGAUUGCUACUCCUAUGACACGAUUAACCAGAAAGAAUGCUAAGUUUAAGUGAGAUAAUGAUUGUGAAAAGAGUUUUCAAGAACUUAAGACAUGUUUGACCUCAGCACCAGUUCUUACACUUCCAUCUGGUAAUGAAGGAUUUGUGGUAUACAGCGAUGCCUCUAGGCAGAGAUUAAGUUGUGUGUUAAUGUAGCAUGGGAAAGUGGUGGCUUAUGCUUCUAGACAACUUAAGAAGCAUGAACAAAACUACCCAACACAUGACCUAGAACUAGCAGUAGCGGUGUUUGCACUCAAGACAUGGAGGCAUUACUUAUAUGGGACAACAUGUCAGAUUUUCACUGAUCAUAAGAGCCUGAAGUAUUUGUUUACUCAGAAGAAGUUGAAUUUGAGACAGAGGAGAAGGAUUGAGUUAAUUAAGGACUACGAUUGCACUAUCGAUUAUCAUCCGGGUAAAGCAAAUGUGGUGGCUGAUGCACUAAGUAGAAAGUCGUCCAGCUCUCUAGCUCACUUGCGAGUGAAAUGUGUGCCUCUGUUGAUCGAGUUGAGAUCUUUGGGAGUCAAGUUGAACGCCGACAAUUGUGGAGCUUUGAUAGCUAAUUUUCAAGUUAGGCCGACUUUGAUUGACAAAGUUCACCAGAUGCAAGCUCAGGACCCAUAGUUAAUGAAGUUGAAAGAGGAUGUACAUAAAGGUUUACGAACCGAUUUUAUGGUGAGAGAUGAUGGAAUCUUAGUAAUGGGUAAGAAUCUGAAAGAAGAAAUUAUGGAAUAAGCUCACUGUUCAGCAUAUGCGAUGCAUCCUGGUAGUACGAAGAUGUAUCACACCCUGAGGGAUCAUUAUUGGUGGCAGGGCAUAAAGAGAGAGAUAGCAGAAUUUGUUUCUCAAUGUUUAGUCUGUCAGCAGAUUAAGGCUGAACACCAUAGGCCUGCAAGGUGUUCUCAACCGCUUCUUAUUCCUGAGUGGAAGUAGGAGCACAUCACUAUGGAUUUUGUAGCAGGACUUCCAUGUACUCAGAAAGGACAUGAUAAUGUUUGGGUGGUUGUUGAUCGACUUACAAAAUCUACUCACUUCUUACCAUUCAAAACCACAUAUUCGAUGGACAAGUUAGGGAGUAUUUAUGUGGCUGAGAUAGUUCGACUUCACGGAGUACCCGUGUCCAUAGUUUCAGAUAGAGAUUCCUGGUUUACUUCUAAGUUCUGGACCAGUUUGCAAAAUGCUUUCGGCACCAAGUUGAAUUUUAGUACAGCUUUUCAUCCACAGACUGAUAGACAGUCAGAGCGUAUUAUUCAAACUCUGGAGGAUAUGUUGUGAGCUUGUGUUAUGGAGUUUAAAGGUAAUUGGGACAAUCAUUUACCUCUGACGGAGUUUGCUUACAACAACAGAUAUCAAGCUAGUAUCGAGAUGGCACCAUAUGAGGCUUUGUAUGGUAGGAAAUGCAGGACUCCAGUAUGUUGGGAUGAGGUUGGUGAGCGGAGGUUAUUCGGUCCAGAACUAGUCCAGGAUACUAACGAGUGAAAUACAAGUGUGCAACCCAAGAGGGGGGGUGAAUUGGGAUUCUAAAAAUUAUUGGAUUCUAAAACAAAUUAUCAUGCAAAUCUAAAAUGAAUUUAAUGGAAUAACAAUUAAAUCAAUUACAAUAUAAAAAGAUAAGGGAAGAGAGAUUCAAACACGAAGAGUUUUACGUGGUUCGGCCAACCUCGCCUACGUCCACGCCUCCAAGCUUUCCGGGCUUGAGGAUUUCACUAAGCAAGCCUCCAAGGCUUCAAAUGCUUACACUUGACUUCGAAGGUGUCAAUGAACCUUUACAACAAGAGAUUAUCCCCAAUCUCUUAACCUAAGUGUAUCUCAACACUUCCAAUCACUCAAAGUAAAAGAUUAAAAAUUAUUUUUCUCUCACACAAUAUUUAAGAUUACAAAUCAAUGCCCAAUGUGUGAAUAGAUGAAGUAAGAAUGUGUUUUAAAGCUCUAUGAAGAUUGUAUUCUCGAAUAUAAGCUCAAUGGUCGUGUUGUGAUCAAUCUUGUUUGAAUUUGAAUGAGCUUAUUUAUAGUUGGAGCUGAAAACUAGCCGUUAUUGACUUUCUGCUCAUUGUCGGAUCGCCGUUAACUAGAUGUCAGAUCUCCGUUUGACUGGUCAAUAUGAUCGUUGGGCUGAAUUUUCAAAUUGUCGGAUCGCCGUUAUCUAUAUGUCGGAUCGCCGUUAUCUAUAUGUCGGAUCGCCGUUAUCUAUAUGUCGGAUCGCCGUUAGUGUCCAGAGACUAAUCUUCAAUUCUGUUCGAUGUCGGCGAGCCAUUAUCAAGAUGUUGGAUUGCUGUUUUCUACAGUAACUGCUACAGUGAACUAUUUUUAUAAAAUUAUAGUUUGACCCCAAAACUUUGUAAAAUUAUACUAUGACCCAAAACUGUAUAAAAGUUGUCAAUUAGGUCCAUUUUCAGGAUUUUAAGCAAUACUUGUUAUUAUAAAAAUGUCAAAGCUUUUUCAAUUGAAACCUUUAACAUGAGAAUAACCAAAAAUAUUUUCAUAGAAUAUAAAGCCUUUAUAAAGUGAGAAUGAUGAUUUAAAAGUAUAUGAAAACUAUUUUGGGCUUUUAAAAGAUUAAUCAAUCUUAAUCAAGUUUGUUAUCAUCAAAAUCAAUAAUAAAGAAAUAUUUAUGUUAACAACGAGAAGAUAUAAUUGAUCCGAGAUAGAUUAAAGGUGGCCCAAGAUAGACAGAAGAGUUAUGCAGACAAGCAUAGCCGGGAACUUGAAUUCGAAGUUGGUGAUAGAGUUUUCAUACAGAUAUCUCCUUGAAAAUGGGUGCUUCGAUUUGGGAAACGUGGGAAGCUAAGUCCACAUUACAUUGGGCCAUAUGAGAUCAUCGAGCGUAUUGGUCCGUUAGCUUACCGAUUAGCUCUACCACCCAAGUUAUCCAGAAUCCACGAUGUGUUUCAUGUCUCAAUGCUCUGGAAGUACAUAUAUGACCCGAGUCAUGUGUUAUCGAAGCAACCAAUUCAGUUGAAGGAAGAUUUGACUUACGAAGAGGAACCAGUGGAGAUACUGGAAGAGAAACACCAAGUUCUGCAUUCUAAGACCAUUCCUCUAGUAAAAGUACGGUGGAGGAAUCAUACAAAGGAAAAGGCUACCUGGGAACGCGAGAAUUUAAUGUGAGCUCAAUAUCCCUAUCUUUUCUUAUCAGGUACGUAAAUUUUGAGGACGAAAUUUUUAUAAGGGGGGAGGAUUGUAACAUAUGUGAAUUAAAAAUGAAAUGUAGGCGGUUAAAGACUUUAUUAAAAAGAAUAGAAUAAGCUAGAAAUAGGGAACAUAUACCACACGUGUGAGAGUAACAGAAGGUAUCAACAGACCCGAAAACCCGACCCAGAACCCGCGAACGUGACUCGGCCAUAUCUCUCAUUUCCGGCCACCGUUUCGGCCGAGCUUGGUACCAAUCUGAAGCUUAGCACCCGGUCGUCGUUCCCCUGCCAUCCUUGCCACUGAAACCUAACCGGAACGCCGGCGAUUGAAGAUUGAAAACCCGCAACUGUUUUGCUUUGUUUCGCCGGGAUUUUCACCGAAUUUGGGUGACACCACCGGUUGGAUUUUGUUCCUCAUGACUCCCUCUUCCAUUUCCGACCAUCCACCGCCGCCGGGGACAUCGUUUUUUCGUUGAUCAGCCGUUGAAGGACUUACGGCUUUGGGAACUCGAUCCGGAGCCAUCGUCGCGCAUGGGAGGUCACCACUGCCACCAUUCGACUCAGUGUGGCUAGAACUUUCAGACUCGUGCUUCCCAGCUAGCGUUGACCAAAUUUUGGUGACCGUUGACCGGCAAGGGCAUUUGGGUAAUUUCACACUAUGAGGGCAAUUUUGUAAUUUUUGAGCAUGCGGAUAUUUUAGUAAUUCCUGGAAUUGAAGAUUGGGUGUAAUUAUGAUUCUGAGGGUAAUUCAGUGAUUUACGAUUUCAGAGUAUUUUAAUGAUUUACGGACUCGAGCUCAUUUUAGUAGUUUUACCGACACGGGAGUUGUAAAUUAUGGAUAGAUGUUCGUUUCGAGUUUAUUGCAUAAAUUUAGUCGUAAUUCCGAUUUACAAAAAUAAUUGUGUCGUUUCCUUUAUUUAGGAGGAUCCGCGAGCGAGAACCGGUCCGCGGACGUGGACAAUAACCGAGUAUGAGCACCGUCACUGUGAGUGGAAUAUACAAAACCUAUUUUCAUAGUUAUAUGAUAGUAAAGCAUGUUUGCGAAAUAAGUAUUUUAAAUGUUCUGAUUUAAUGAUUCCCUCGAAAUGGAUUUUAUUCACGUAUUGGUAUUUUAUUAAACUGUUUGGUUAAUGAUUCUGCGUAUCGACUUUGAAUAAAGUAUGAUAGUAUUUUAAAGACAAGAAAAGUGGAUUCAAAUGUGGUAUGAUUUAAAGUAUGGUUAAAAGGUAUGUGAAUAUGAGUAUAGUGAUUGUUUUUGAAAUCAUUAGACAGUACCCUUUCCUCCAGAUACAGUGAUACAGAUUAGAUGAGAGGCCUUUGGGGCCCGUCUGAACACACAUAGAGGCUUUGGGCUGUGUAUUUGGGCGAUUUUGCCUUUUGGGGGCAUAUGCAUGUGGUAUGAUGAUUACA
rnacentral:lncRNA from 1 species